rnacentral:rRNA from 1 species
UACGGAGGGAGCUAGCGUUGUUCGGAAUUACUGGGCGUAAAGCGCACGUAGGCGGCCAUUCAAGUCAGAGGUGAAAGCCCAGGGCUCAACCUUGGAACUGCCUUUGAAACUAGAUGGCUAGAAUUCUGGAGAGGUCAGUGGAAUUCCGAGUGUAGAGGUGAAAUUCGUAGAUAUUCGGAAGAACACCAGUGGCGAAGGCGGCUCACUGGUCCGGUACUGACGCUGAGGUGCGAAAGCGUGGGGAGCAAACAGG